GAUCUUGAAUCUGGUCCCACCGGGCGUGCCAAAAGAUGUGUUGAUGCAAAACUGAUCUGCAAACACAAAGGGCUAAUACCCGAUUCAAACGUUAAGGCGUGCCAGCCGAUUUGACCUUGCUAUCGGCAAAGGUGAUAACUCGAAUACUUUAGUCCUGACAACAGCGAUGCGUCCGGAUGUCACGGCUAAGAGGUACUCACGCGGAACUUGAGAACACGCCGAGCUUAAGUCGACGAAUUCCUAAGAACUCGUAACAAAAGGAAAAAGUAUGACGAAGUCGUCGAAAAGUAAAUGCUGGAAUAUGAGUAAAAACGUGUGUUUGAUUGAUUUCUUGAUUCAUUAUUACAAGGCCCUAGGGUCUAUAUUUAUACCCUGCUCAAAGAGCUACAACCAGACACGAUUAGAAUUCGAACUCCAAAUUACACGGAAUCUGUAUACAAAACAAUGCAAAUAAUUAAGGAAAUAACAAAACUAUCCCUCGUGACAAACCGAAACUCCUCCACAUAACGACCGGCAGCUUCCAGACUCCUCCUUUGCAUCAUCGGCAGAUCCUUUGCCAUAGUCAUCGGCAGACUUUUUUAUCUAGCCAUCGGCACCAUAUUACUGCCUGUGGACUUAGUCACAUUCAACUUCUCCCUCAUCGGCAACCAUCCUCAUCGGCAACCCGCUUUGUAAACAUCGUACUGCCACCUUAUCCUGCCAUCCUAGACACGCGCCCAAAAACGGUGUCAACAGCUAUCAACAAGCCUUCACUCUUCAGAGACUCCAUCAUGCUUCAUGGCCAAGGACCACAAGGUAAAAUAUGAUGAAAGUGAAGAUGAAAAUGAAAAUGAAUAUGAUAGUUAUAGUGAUAAUGAUGAUGAAUUCACUAAUGAACAACUCAUGGACAUGCUAGAAGAAGACGAUUCACUUAUUCAUUCUAAAAACAAGAAGUGCAGAGAAUUGGCCAAAAAGUUAAAAGCUCUUGAACAGUCCUUUGAUAAGCUCAAUGCUAAUCAUGAGAGGCUAAUGGAUGUCCAUAAAAAGUUUGAGAAAGCUCACUCUUAUUGUUAGAAGAGAACAAGGAAAAGGUUGUUGUAUCAUGUGAUGUGGGCACAAUAGGUGACUUAAUUAGUGAAUCACCCAACAAACCUAUUGUUGUGUUCUUGUAGCUCUUCAUCCACCACCACCAACUCUACCUCUACUACUAGUGAUGGAUUCACUUAGGAUGCCUCACUAAAAGUUGAGAAUAAGACUCUCAAGAGAGAGGUGAAUGAGCACACUCACGCCAUAGGCAAAGCGUAUGGUGGUGAGGCCCGCUUGCUAAAGUGCUUGGGUAGUCAAAGGUUCUCUCUCAGCAAAGAGGCAUUGGGCUAUACCACCAAGAAAGGCAAGGUGGCCUUUGCAUCUCACAAGCUUAGCUUUGUGAAGAGCAAUGGUCGGUUUUGCAAUAAAUGCAAGCAAGUUGGACACUUAGAGCAUAAUUGCAAUAAAAUGAAUAAGAACAAAAAUGCUAAUGUACCUUACAUUUCUUUUGAUUCCUGUUAUGUAGUUGCCAAGGGUGAGAAAGGUGUGCGUGCUUAGUGUAACAGAACCACCCAAAUUAUAAGUGAUUAAGCCUAAUAGUGACCAUUUGCACGGUCAAACCAUCGAGCUUAAGCCCAUAUAAUCCCGGUAGUCCGUGAAAUCUUGAAGGAUUUCAAACCAAAUAUCGUACAUACAGCCAAGAUCGUAGUAAGUUUAGCAGUCCCCAUUCACAAUUACAUCCAGUUCACCACAUUCAUAAAAUACAUCAGAGUUCUUGAAAUUAUUACAAACCAAGUUCUCAAGUAGCGGAAGCUUCAUAGUUUAAAAUAACACACGCACACUUAGUCUGGUAUAGUGCCAUAGUUCGGCCAUUCCCACAAAAGCAAAAGAGGAGGUAGAGUGACCAUCGCCCUUGGUCUAGUCAUCGCCCAUUGCUGGGUACAGGCAGAGGAUACAAUAACCAUAGUACAUUUGACCAUCUGCAAAACAACAUGGGAAUAGAACCCUGAGUACGAGAAUGUACUCAGCUAGACUUACCCGUCAUAACGAAAAAUAAAGACUCUUCAAGGAUCAUGAAGGCUAUAUGGUGGGGUAGCUGAGACUUUUUGCAUAAAAGCACUGUUCCACUGAACAUAGCCUAAAGACCUUUCUUCUUUUAAUUAGCUCAAGUUCGAUAUUAUCAUUACCUAUUAUCUAGGUUUGCACCUGUAGUAUUGCAAACAAGUGUAGUAAUAUGAUGGUACCUCAUUAUAGCAUUCAUAAAUCAUUUCUAAUCAUAACCCAAGUGUUCCAUAGUCCUUACUAUGAGAACGAAGCUUAUGUCAAGUGCUCACUAUCCAGGAGCGAUGGCGAUUCAAAUCGAUUUCUGACCAGCUGGCGAGUUUAUUCCCCACAAAAACCACACUCACUGAUCAAGUGAGCUACAGAUCACCGUGUUGCACUAUCCAGGACCAAUUCACGGUUUCGACACGCACCGCCCAUACCCGAGGACCGUUCCGGCGUCCGAGGUAUCCAAGGUAUACCAAGGUUGCACUUCGCGCCCUCGUCGUUCUCCCCAACCAUCACCAAUACAGCGCGUACAUCGGGCCGAUUCCCGGCCCGGAUAGUGCUCAGGCUUCGCGGUCGGAACGACUUAUCCUUCCAGCUAAGUGUGGGGCAUGCGUUCAACAUGACAAGAGGGCCGUCAACGAUCGGUCCUUAAUUGACAAAGGUAGGGGCACUAUGGUCAACCCACCGUAAGACCCUGCCCGGUCUCAAAUUCCUUUCCCCACUUGGUUAUCCUUUCCCAAAGCAAUCACCGCUAAUCAAGCAGGUAUCCACCUAUAUUCUCGCAGGUGACAGGAAAUCACCCGACUUAUACCGGACUAAGCAAGCUAAGCAUAGACUCCGUGCCUAUCUACAUAGGUCAAGGUGGAUAAACAAGUGGUGAUAUCAAGGAGUACAUAUGCAUCAACGGUAUCAAGCAAUUCCUAUCACUUAAAUACAACAUAGUAGAACAAGCAUAAUAUAUCAUUCUUGUUAGCAAGAAUAGGGAGACUUAGAAUGCUCCGGGGCUUGCCUUUCUCAAACGUGCUCGGUUUAUGAUCCGGGCACUCUUGUAGCUCUUCUCCGGGCUCUGGUCCUCCUAGAGGUUCCUGCUCCUGGGUCUCCUCCUGCUCCUCGUGUCCCACCUCGUUCUCCUGCGAGCCUGUAUGAUGUAUGUAUGCUCAUGAGUGGAGUGCGAGAUGCCCGGGGUGCAAUGCUUAUGCAAGUGGGUAACAGAUGACGAUGACAUGGUGCAUAGAUGAUAUAGGUGGUCAUUUCUACAAGGUAGUCAACAUCAUCCAAGAACGUGUAACCGAACUAAGCAUCUAUUGUAUUGUUUUCUACAAGUUGUCUUCAUGAUUAACCAGCAAACUCACAUGAUGCUUCAAAGAUACACCAAACACCAUUUUACUUUAUUUAAUCUAGGUAUAACAAUUCAUAAUUUAUUUAUCCACUUUUAGGCCUACAAAAGUAGCAUAUAUUUCUGUUUAUCAAUAAAUUUCAGCAAAAAUUAUCCACUAUGCAUUUUCCAAUUUUCAGCAAAAACAUGGAUUAAAUAUAUUUGCACAGAAAAGUUGCUCAAACAUGACAUGCAGCCACUCAAAACUAUAGAUCUGAGAUUAUAGAACACAUCAAGAUUUAUUUCAUCAAUUUUGGAGCCAUAUAUCUCAAGAUAUGGAUUUUAAAUCAUUUAAACUAUUUUCUAGAAAUUAUUUUCUGAAAACCAAUUCGAAAUCGGGAUGAAAAACGCUAAAGACACCCGGAUCUCUACCAUCUCGGUUCCCCCCGCGACUAACAGUGGGCCCCCGACCCCACUGGUCAGCGUGACCGAGAGGGAGGGGCACCUCCGACGAGCGGAUCUCGCCGGCGGUGAGGUCCCCGGCCACGGGGUGAGCACCAUCGUGCUCCCCGCAGCGAGGCGCACCCAAGGGUGCCCUUGGAUCGGCCGGAAGAUGACCUGAGCACCCUCGCGAGCAUGCAUGGUGGCACGGCGGCGCUGCUCGCCGUGGCCAGGCCGCUUCAGUGCGGUAGAGCGCGCGCGGGGUUCCGUCGAGGCUUCCUUGUCGAGCUACGGACCUAACGCGCCUAGAAGCAAGCGAAACGAGGCAGAAAUGAGUGAGGUUCGAUGCGGCGGAGCACUCCGACGAGGUCGGGGAAACUCCAGCAAGCGAUUCACAGCGUGCGGCAGUCUCUCACCUCGGUAGAGCGUGCGUAGAGGCUUACCACGGUGAAGACGAGUGCGGUGGUGCUCUUGGCGCAGAGAACGGGUCACUGGUGUGGCCGGCGGUGAGCGGCGGAGCUCUCCGGCGAUGGCGCUGUGGCGUAGUUGCUGCGGCUGCGGCGCUCGCGAGUGGAGGAAGGAGAGGAGAGAGGAGCGGAGGCGACAGAGUGGAGCCUGGGGCCGCGGGGCGGCGUCCCGACCAGGUUAAGGCCGGUCGGCCGCGGCGCGUCCACGACGCCGACGUACGGCCGCCACGUGGCCGGCGUCGGGUGGUCGAAGGCAGGCGUCCGCGCGCGGGAGAGAGGGGAGGGGAGAACGGGCCACGCUGUCUGGCUGGGCCGAAAGGGAGGCGGGUCGGCCCAGCAGCGCCUGCCCCCUUUUCUUUUUUUUUUAAUUUCUUUUCUCCAAAAAGUUUAAACAAGACUUUUGAGGCUUUUACAAAUCCUUUUAGGGGUUGGAGUAAAAAGAAGAAUUGUUCCCCUCAAAAUUCCCUACAACUUUGUUUUAAUAAGCAAAGCCAAAUUCCAAAUAGAAUUUGAACCACAAAUUAAAACUAGUUCUAGGUUUUUAAUAAACUCAUUUUAGGGAUUUUAGUAUAAAUUCCAUUUUCUCAAUUUCUAUGGCUCCAAAAUUUCACAAAAUUACUCUUAAUUCUUCUAACACAUAUUUCAACUUAAUUUGAGCAUUUCAAUUAAUUUAGAAGCAAGCAUAAUAUUUCUGACCCAUUAAUUCACAUAAAUGAAGCACAUGAAAUCACAAGAAGAGCUUUUGUUUCUUCUCAUCGAGAUAGAGGCAGGCAAAAGAGGGAUUUUCGUCGUUUGUGGAUCACUCGGAUAAACGCAGCAACACGGGUAUAUAACGUAUUCAAUAGUUAUAGUAAAUUAAUACACAAUCUGUCCAAGAAGGAAUUGAUUCUUAAUCGUAAAAUGCUUGCACAAGUAGCUGUAUCAAAUCCAAAUAAUCUUUACACGAUUUCCAAUAAAAUAAGGACCUUACUCUUUCAUAGAAAGAUAGAAAGCGGGGCAGCAGUAGGGUUUAGGUCAAAAAUAAAAAUAAACAUGGGUAAGUUAGGUAUCCAAUAAAUAUUUAUUUAUCCUAAUUUUAUGGUAUAUUCUUACGUCCUUUGCUUAUAAAAAAGGUAACAAACGAAAGAAAAAAUCUCUCUAUUCCCGCGUCUUCUAUUCAGAGCAUCCCCUACUCUUUUUUAGGGAAAGAGCGAUGUAUCAUAUUUCUACUUAAUGCUCUCCAAUUCUACCAGAAAUCAUAUAAGAAUUUGUUAGGAGUAAAUUCCUUUAACGGGUUCAUCCAUAGUCUUAGGGCAGAAUAGAAUGGCCUUUUGACUCUGUACCCUUGAUUCCACUAUGAUUAUUGAUCAAUAGUAGAAGAAUUCUUUCAUAGAAAUAGGAGACAUAAUUUACAUGGAUAUAGUAAGUCUCGCUUGGGCUGCUUUAAUGGUAGUCUUUACAUUUUCUCUUUCGCUAGUAGUAUGGGGGAGGAGUGGACUCAAGGGAUACUACCAAUUGAUUGAGUAGUCGAAUUGUAGUAUCAACUCUUUUCUUUAAUUGAUCGUUUUGCAUUAAUAAUUUUGCCAAACUUUAUUUUUUCUUUCUUUAGUUUUGUUUCACUCUUGUAAGAAACUCUUUUAAGAAAGUAAGAAAGAGUCGUUCUAUUCUACUAUGUUCUAUUCCAGUAUAAUAGAAAGGGCGAUUAUAGUAACUCAUAAUUUCUAUUCUACUAGAAAUUAUGAGUAAAAAGAAAGUUCUAUACAUAAGAAAAUUAGAACAUAAGAAAAUUAGACUUUCUUACACGAAGCUAUUCACAACAUAUCGCACAUUUUCCAUUUAUACUAUUUUCUUAUUCUUAGAAAAUUUUUUAUGUUCUUUUUUUUGAAGGAUCUCGAUUGAAGCAUCUCGCACCUUUUUUAAGCAUGAAAGAUUCGUAGGUUUUUUCCUUUUACUUUUUUUCUUUUACUAUAGUCUAUUCUAGUCUAUUCUCGUAUUAUUUUUCUCCCCCUCCUUGGAUUCUUUCAAUGAAGAAUUAUCUUCGAUUUUUUUGAUUUUGACUUGAUUGAAAUUAAGAAUAAAUAAUAUCCGACGAAUUAGAAUCAUCUUGAUAGAGAUAACAGGCCCUUUCUAUGUAUUAUCAAUAGGAUCAAUUCUAACAAGUCACACACUCAUAUUCCAGAGAUACCAAAACAAAAAAAUCCACGGUCGAACUACCAGAAUGUCUAGAAAUGUGGAGCUUAAAGUAGAAAGGCUUUUUUUGGAUGGAAAAACUAUGAAGUCAUAGUUUUAGUUAGUAGAAACCUAAUUCGUUAAAAUUUCGUCCAGUAAAACAGAAGAAUUAUAAAUUUCUAAAAUUAUAGAUAGGAAUAUCGCGAAUAAAGCCAUUGCGACCCCCAUAAAAGGAGUAGUCCCCCAACCCGGAGCAACUUUCCCAUAUUCCGAAUUCAAGGGUUUCAAUAAACUACCUGCGCCAGUCCGUUUUGGCUUAGGUCUAGAACUAUCUUCAACGGUUUGUGUAGCCAGUGCGUUCUGAGGUGUGAAGUGGGAGAGAGGGGAUGAUUGAGGUUUUGAAUAAGACGACCUUUGCGUUUUGGAUUUGGAUCUUUUUCGUAUUUCAAAAUAGUGAAAAAGUAAAAUAAGAGGUGUUAAGCUUUUUAUCAUUCUGGCAUCGAGCUAUUUUGCCGCAGGACCUCCCCUACAGUAUCGUCACCGCAGUAGAGUUUAACCACCAAAUUCGGGAUGGAUUGGUGUGGUUCCUCUACGCCUAGGACACCAGAAUAUCGAACCAUGAACGAGAAAAGGCAUGAGAGAAAUAUUGGCUAGUAAUUGUGAAGCCCCAAUUCAUAACUGGAAGGGACACCAAAGGACUCUGCCCUCCCUCUCUAUUUAUCCAAGAGAUGGAAGGGCAGAGCUUUUUUUUGGUUUUUUCAUCUUUUCUUUUCAUCAAAGAGUUGAACAAUGAAGAUAGAUGGCAAGUGCCUGAUCGAUUUGAUCAGGUCGUGUAGGAACAAGGUUCAAAUCGUUCGUUCGUUAGGAUGCCUCAGCUGCAUACAUCACUGCACUUCCACUUGACACCUAUUUAAACGGCUCGUCUCGCCGCUACCUUAUCCUAUUUCCAUACUUCUGUCGCUCCAUCCCCGUAUGGGUGGAGAACCCGUCGCUGUCUCGGCUGUGCUACCGGAGGCUCUAGGGAAGUCGGAGGAGAGAGCACUCAUCUUGGGGUGGGCUUACUACUUAUAUGCUUUCAGCAGUUAUCCUCUCCACACUUGGCUACCCAGCGUUUACCGUANNNNNNNNNNNNNNNNNNNNNNNNNNNNNNNNNNNNNNNNNNNNNNNNNNNNNNNNNNNNNNNNNNNNNNNNNNNNNNNNNNNNNNNNNNNNNNNNNNNNUGUUCACUCGGCUGGCUGGUCUAUUUAUUGCUAUUUUGUCUUAAUAGAGAAGAAGCUUUUUCCUGCGAAGAUCAAGUUGAACGGUGAGUUCUAAAGGUUUUCCUGAUGUACCAGUGUCUGUGUCGCUUUCCAAGUAGUCCUUUCUUAUUUAAUCAAAGAAAGGGCUUCAAAAUCCAGAACUGCUAACAAACCAAGGAUAUAAGAAUAUUCAUUAGGUUAAUCACUUUUCUGUGUUCAUUAGUGAACUUCCCCAGAUAACAAAUGUCUAGAAUCUCCAGAUAAGGAAGUACUCUUCUCAAAACACAACUGCUAACUACAGAUAAUUCUUCAUUUGCUCCUUGGUUUAGACUUUAGAACAGCACUAGAUCUUAAGUAAUUGUGGGAGCAGACCUCCUAAAGCACCAGACCAUUUUAUGAACCAAUUGCAAGUAAAAGUAGUCUUUGCAGCAAGUUAAACAAUAGUAUCACAAGUUCACAACUAUGAAUGCUCACACUCAGGAUAGACGCCCAGCUUUAUUAAGAAAGCCAAAGUUCAUACAAUAAAAAAGGAAAUAAGGAAAGCAGGGGACACCUGCGUUACAAUGAGGUAAUCUGACUUAUAACGACUCCUGAACAACUCAAACACUAGAAAGCACUAGUAUCACCAAACCAACAACUGAGCUUUCGACAGACGGACUUAGUCUUUCUUCAGGUCCCGCUAACCUAGUGAUGUAGAAGAUUAGCGCCGGAUGGCACAAGGCGCUUUGCUGUAAAACGCAGCCUCUCCACAGAAUUUUGCUGCAUGCUGGGCCCUGAUGGUGGAACUGUCAUUUUGGGGAAGAAGAAAGCCGCCCCCUUUUGCGGCAGAGUGGGCAGCAUCGCUUUCCCUCGCGUAGCUUCGAUGCCAUGAAAAAGCAGAAAAAAGACAAGAAAAAGAAAAAACAGUAUCUUUUGGAUUCCUGCCAUUAAUUACAGGAAAACGAAUUGUGGAGCUGUAGGCUUCAAAGUAAGGGGAGGACCGAGAUUAUAUACCCAGCAGCAGCGCGGGAUCGAAGGGCUUGGUUGGAAGGUAAGUUGGUGGUAGGUUAGGGGUCUUUCCCGCGUGAUAGGCUUGGCGCUUCCCGCCUGAUAGAUAACCACCACCACAGGCCCUUUUACAUGCAAGACUGCCAUGCGGCACGAAUUUAACGGUAGGUACAAUCCUGAUAAGUUUGCAGCAGUUGAGUCAUGCCUUUGUAAACAAACCUUUCCCACCUUUAACAAACCGAUCCAAAACCAAGAAAGAAAGAAAAGAAGGAAUUUUAGCACAAGGUUCGCCAGACUUGCUUCUCGCUGCGCUCGAUCAAAGAAAGAGAAAUCGAACAAGAGCUGCGCUCGACCAAGAAGUCAUGGGGCUAGCUCGAACGAUAUAAAGAUGGAAUCAGCAGUGUCAGAAGUCAACCAAAACAGAGUAGCAUGGCCGGGCAGUAAGCUUUCGAAGCCUCAACAACAGAAUAGCAAUAGAAUAUUUUCUGACGCAGAUGGUAUUUUCAUUUUUUCAAGUGCUAUUGCCUGGAUGGUGUUCUCGGUAUCGUUUUCUUCAAGAAGGGAAGGAAUCGGGGGGAUAGAGUUCCGGGCAAGACUGUUUGGCUCUAUGUUCAGGAAAGGAAUGCCCUCAGGGAAGAAAGAGGAAAGUAGCAUAGCAUAGCAGAGAAAAGAAUCUCUGUUCUCAGUCUAAGUAAGCCCGUCCUAGCAAUAGUGGCUGAAGCUGGUCUCGAUCUCGAACUCAAACUGAUGCCUAGCUGCCUCCAUCUCCGCUUCCUUCUACUACCAGUGUGCGCUCAUCCCUUGCUUGUUCUUUCAGGACUGAGUAUGAUGAAAUAUUUUGAGAUCUGACUUACUUUAGUCCGUAUCGUCGGUCUACUUCUGACAAGCAAAAGGCAUAAUAUCCCCAAUGAGUCAGGAAUAGAAGAUGCCAACGUGUUGAGACCGACCUAAAGAUCUUGUCAAACAAUACAGGCUUUCUUCCAAAGAAUAUCCCACUUUGUUGGCUGGCCUGGAAAAUCUUCCUAGCCUUGACUGUCGUUGCGUUUAACGAGCUUGACAAAACUACCUCCCCGCUUCUCAAAACAAGGCAGAUUAAGGGAGAAUGCCAUCUUUUUCGUAGAUAGUCUGAGUUCGAGCUACUGGACUGGCUUCGGCUUCUUCCUUCGAGUUAGAGUGCCCAAUGCUAAUAUUCUCAAAUGCCUUAACCGUAAUUUUCGUUGAUUCGUUUAGACUUCAUCCUAUAUACGCUUAUGGACAGGCAGAAAUGAACGGAUACCAUUCUCCAGAGAUAGUAGCUUAAUUAGCUUAGGUUUCAAUCCUAACGCACGAGAAGAAAAACGAAAAGCAUGGGACUUCCAGUACGAUAGGGCCGGACCUCAAUGGUCCUUUAUGUCUGAAGCGGAUGUGAGCGUGGUCAACCGAAUCUGAGCCGUGUGCACUGCCAGGCGUCGGAACGCUAAUCGGAGCACAUAGAGUGGGCGGUGGCAAAGCAGUCAUCGCGCGUGUGUGUAUCUCUCCCCGAGAAGAGGCGCAUGGGGUAGCGAGGCAAAUCGUGUUUCAUCAAAUGUGACAUGUCUUGAGAUGAGUCUGCGUGCGGGGAUCAUAACAGCAGUACCCCUUGUGCUGAUCACUAUAGCCAACGAAAAUCAAUGACUUUUUUCUCAAAGGAUUGACUUUGGCCACACCGUCUUGAUCAAAGAGCUCGGGUUACACAAAUCUCCCUUCUUUGUGUACUGGAACAGCUACCACUUCCUUAGAACAGCACUAACUUACCGCUCUCUAUACUAUAUAAAAAUAAAAGAAAGAGAAUAGCUCCAUAACCAAAAAAAUAGUGAACUGCCAUGAAUUACACACACGCUAGUAGUGGCUCGGCUAGAGGACUACAGCAGCCGAAGCCGUGAUUUGUAUGGUAUGUCUUGCCCUCAAUGUCUGGUUGGUUGGUAAGUCACUAAAUCCCUAUCUCCCGGUGGUCGAGUACCCCCGACGCGUCGAAUGGGUUGUUUAGUCUGACUUCUUGUGCUGGCCCGACAUCAUUCUGUCUCCCGCAUUCUCUCCUUUCAUCGGUUUGUUUUUUUUACUUCGCUUCGCGAUUAGAGUUGUACGCAUCAUGCAUGGGAAUCCUUCCGUCCUUGAUGUUAACGCUCUCGUGCGUAGGUCCCGGGUCAAAGGCAUCUCGAAGGAAGCUGCUCCGCAUAUGCGAUCACCUCCAUGUACCUACAGAUGAGGGCUCCAACGCCUACUGUACAAUCAUGUGGGAAGUGCAUCCUGCACACCAGAAAGUCAGUGGCGUACGCCACACCCCCUCCCCCUGUACCUACACCCAUUGAAACGUUUAUUGUCUGACAAUCUCCGACGCGACGCGCAACGCCCCAUGCAAAUCCCUACGUCGGUCGAUCGAUGCGCACAGAAGGAGAGCUUGUCCAUAACGAAAAUAAGAAAGAUAGUGAAUCUUGUUUGAACCAUUAAUGAAAAAUAGAGGUUGGUACAAUAGUUAGGAAGUAAAAUGGGCUUUUUAUUGGGGAUAGAGGGACUUGACUUGAACCCUCACAAUUUAGAAAGUCGACGGAUCGACUAUAUAAUAUACUAUAAAUUUCAUUGUUGUCGGUAUUGACAUGUAGAAUGGGGUUCUCUCUCCAUUCACUUUGAGCUGGGUUUCUUGUGAUCUUUGUAGUUGUUUUUCCGUCCAAUUUUAUGGUAAAUUCAGUCAUAGGAAUCCAGACUCCGCUUGAUUCGAUCUUCAGUUUCGACCUUCAUCACUCAGGAAAUUUUUGUUGCCACUUAUUCCACUCAGAGAGACCGAACCAUCCAACAGCUAUGCCAUCCCCAUUGUCCAUUGAGCCUGCUCUGAAUAAUCCCCCCUUUGCUAUUGCAACUGAUUUAAGGUCUGGAACUACGAGCAUACUUUUCCAGAGAGAGUCCUUGUUGGCUCAAGUUGAGACCGUAGUGCAAGCUCAUCAAAGGAGGCCUUUAUAAGCCUAUUUGACAUCUACAAGGCACUAAAGCUUCAACCUGGCGGCCUCUGCUCCGAUAUAUCAGAAAAGAAAACCUUUUUUUACAGUAAGGGAAUUUGGCCCAAUAGUCCCUCCAAUUUGAAGUGAUCAAGCCACCACUGGUACCAGUAGGGAACUGGUACUACCACCUCCUCCAGCUCUAGCUGAGCUCUCCAGUUCUUCUCCAUCAGUGAGUUGCAAUGGGAGCAUCUCAACAUCCUCUGGUAGAAUCUGUGUAAUCCAAGCCUUCUGGGACAUCAUCCACCCGCAACUGCUUUCUCUCUUGCAGCUCUUUCAUAGCAAUGGCCUUUAUGUUUGGAGGCUAACCCAGGCAUCCAUCACUCUCCAGUGAUUUCAAAUCCAGAGGUUAAUCGUACUCUGGCAACUUUACGUAAGGCAGAGUUGGGUUUUUUGGGGUUGAUAGUGGAAAAGUCGACAGAUAAGUCAUCCUUACUGUCCCUCUACAGAACCGUACAUGAGAUUUUCACCUCAUACGGCUCCUCGUUCAAUUCUUUCGAAGGGAUCCUUUUCCUCGUUCGGGAGUCUCCGCCCUUCUUCCACUCCGUCCCGAAGACUAACUAAGACCAAUUGAGUCACGUUUUCAUGUUCUAAUUGAACACUUUCCAUUUAUGAUUAAAGGAGAGGGUUUGGUCAGGGGGAUGCAGAAAUAGUGCUUCAGGAUCCAUUGCGCGUCCAAGGCCUUUUGUUCUUCUUCGCAUCUGUUAUUUUGGCACAAGUUUUUUUGGUUCUCAAAAAGAAACAGUUUGAAAAGGUUCAAUUGUACGAAAUGAAUUUCUAGAUCCUGGGAUUUCUUACCAUCAAGUUAGAAAAAAGGUACAUAGAAUAUGUAUGGACAGUC
rnacentral:lncRNA from 1 species